rnacentral:rRNA from 1 species
GACGAACCGUGCGAACGUUAUUCGGAAUCACUGGGCUUAAAGCGCGUGUAGGCGGGAGGGAACGUCGGCCGCUGAAAUCCCCCGGCUUAACCGGGGAACGGGCGCGGAUACGACCAUCCUCGAGGGACGUAGGGGGACCUGGAACUUCCGGUGGAGCGGUGAAAUGCGUAGAGAUCGGGAGGAACAUCAGUGGCGAAGGCGGCCAUCUGGGACAACACUGACGCUGAGGCACGAAAGCGUGGGGAGCAAACAGG